AAUUUCUGUACGAAAUGUUAUAAACAGAUACGCACAUAUUGAAUGAAUACAAUCAAUCCGCCAUAUUGUUGCACCAUGGAUAUAAGCGGCAGUUAAUAAACAACAAACCAUGACUGUUAAUGAUAAUUUUCAAUAGAUAAAUGAUUUUUUGGGGGUUUCCAUAGACUUAAAAUUCCUAAGAAACAUCAAAAUUAAAAUUAUAUAUUUACUACUGUACUUUUCAAAAACGUCAAAACAAAUUUGUUAACGAUAUAAGCAAUGGACGUAAACAGAGUUUUUAUAGCUUCAGGUAAAGCUGAAGGAUCAUCAGAAGCCAGGAAAACCCUGCGCUCUACGCCUGGCAUUCGCAGCUCCAGUUUACUGAAGAAAUCCUCCACAUAUGUCAUGUAUUCAGCCACUGAGUGGAAUGAGGCCUCGGCUGCUAGCUUGUCAGUACGACGAAUGUGUACUCUAUCAUGAAACAAACACAGAAACUGACAAAGCCUUACAAUCAGUACAAAUUUCAAACUAAUUUAACUUCCAAAAAAGAAUUGCAUUGAAAACAACUGACAAUGUUGACUUUCAAAUAAAUAUGUAAAAUAUCUAGAAACAAA